rnacentral:rRNA from 1 species
GAUGAACGCUAGCUACAGGCUUAACACAUGCAAGUCGAGGGGUAACAAGAGAAAAGCUUGCUUUUCUUGUUGACGACCGGCGCACGGGUGAGUAACGCGUAUCCAACCUGCCUAUAACUAGGGAAUAACCUUGCGAAAGUAAGACUAAUACCCUAUGAUUUCCUUUGAUGACAUCAGAUUAGGAAUAAAGAUUUAUCGGUUAUAGAUGGGGAUGCGUCUGAUUAGCUUGUUGGCGGGGUAACGGCCCACCAAGGCAACGAUCAGUAGGGGUUCUGGGAGGAAGGUCCCCCACAUUGGAACUGAGACACGGUCCAAACUCCGACGGGAGGCAGCAGUGAGGAAUAUUGGUCAAUGGACGAAAGCCUGAACCAGCCAAGUAGCGUGCAGGAUGACGGCCCUAUGGGUUGUAAACUGCUUUUAUACAGGAAUAAAGUUAGCCACGUGUGGUUAUUUGUAGGUACUGUAUGAAUAAGGACCGGCUAAUUCCGUGCCAGCCGCCGCCGUAA